UACGUAGGGACCAAGCGUUGUUCGGAUUUACUGGGCGUAAAGGGCGCGUAGGCGGCGUGGUAAGUCACUUGUGAAAUCUCUGAGCUUAACUCAGAACGGCCAAGUGAUACUGCUGUGCUAGAGUGCAGAAGGGGCAAUCGGAAUUCUUGGUGUAGCGGUGAAAUGCGUAGAUAUCAAGAGGAACACCUGAGGUGAAGACGGGUUGCUGGGCUGACACUGACGCUGAGGCGCGAAAGCGUGGGGAUCAAAUAGG
rnacentral:rRNA from 1 species